CGUGCAGGCGGUUGCUUAAGUCUGAUGUGAAAGCCCUGGGCUCAACCCGGGAAGUGCAUUGGAAACUGGGCAACUUGAGUACGGGAGAGGAUAGUGGAAUUCCGAGUGUAGGGGUGAAAUCCGUAGAUAUUCGGAGGAACACCGGUGGCGAAGGCGGCUAUCUGGACCGAUACUGACGCUGAGACGCGAAAGCGUGGGGAGCAAACA
rnacentral:rRNA from 1 species